AGGAGGAAUCGCUGGUCGCCAGCGAGGGGUGCGGCUUCAAUUUCAAUAACUUUAUUGGUGGCCUGAUCUGCAGAACAGCCAUCACAUCAGUGGCCCUUGGAGGAGGGAGCGCAUCGCCCGAGGUGGUCCCCGACGAGCUGCAGCCAUGGGAAACACCACCAGCGACCGGGUGUCCGGGGAGCGCCACGGCGCCAAGGCUGCACGCUCCGAGGGCGCAGGCGGCCAUGCCCCGGGGAAGGAGCACAAGAUCAUGGUGGGGAGUACGGACGACCCCAGCGUGUUCAGCCUCCCUGACUCCAAGCCAUAAUGACUUUGUUGCCAUCCUGGACCUCCCUGAGGGAGAGCACCAAUACAAGUUCUUUGUGGAUGGACAGUGGGUUCAUGAUCCAUCAGAGCCUGUGGUUACCAGUCAGCUUGGCACAAUUAACAAUUUGAUCCAUGUCAAGAAAUCUGAUUUUGAGGUGUUCGAUGCUUUAAAGUUAGAUUCUAUGGAAAGUUCUGAGACAUCUUGUAGAGACCUUUCCAGCUCACCCCCAGGGCCUUAUGGUCAAGAAAUGUAUGCGUUUCGAUCUGAGGAA
rnacentral:lncRNA from 1 species